rnacentral:rRNA from 1 species
AUUGAACGCUGGCGGCAGGCUUAACACAUGCAAGUCGAGCGGGGUGAUGGUGCUUGCACUAUCACUUAGCGGCGGACGGGUGAGCAAUGCUUAGGAAUCUGCCUAUUAGUGGGGGACAACAUCUCGGAAGGGAUGCUAAUACCGCAUACGUCCUACGGGAGAAAGCAGGGGAUCACCUGUGACCUUGCGCUAAUAGAUGAGCCUAAGUCGGAUUAGCUAGUUGGUGGGGUAAAGGCCUACCAAGGCGACGAUCUGUAGCGGGUCUGAGAGGAUGAUCCGCCACACUGGUACUGAGACACGGCCCAGACUCCUACGGGAGGUAGCAGUAGGGACUAUUGGACAAUGGGGGGAACCCUGAUCCAGCCAUGCCGCGUGUGUGAAGAAGGCCUUAUGGUUGUAAAGCACUUUAAGCGAGGAGGAGUCUCUUUUGGUUAAUACCCAAGAUGAGUGGACGUUACUCGCAGAAUAAGCACCGGCUAACUCUGUGCCAGCAGCCGCCGUAA